rnacentral:rRNA from 1 species
UGAACGCUGGCGGCGUGCCUAAUACAUGCACGUCGAGCGAACGGACGAGAAGCUUGCUUCUCUGAUGUUAGCGGCGGACGGGUGAGUAACACGUGGAUAACCUACCUAUAAGACUGGGAUAACUUCGGGAAACCGUAGCUAAUACCGGAUAAUAUUUUGAACCGCAUGGUUCAAAAGUGAAAGACGGUCUUGCUGUCACUUAUAGAUGGAUCCGCGCUGCAUUAGCUAGUUGGUAAGGUAACGGCUUACCAAGGCAACGAUGCAUAGCCGACCUGAGAGGGUGAUCGGCCACACUGGAACUGAGACACGGUCCAGACUCCUACGGGAGGCAGCAGUAGGGAAUCUUCCGCAAUGGGCGAAAGCCUGACGGAGCAACGCCGCGUGAGUGAUGAAGGUCUUCGGAUCGUAAAACUCUGUUAUUAGGGAAGAACAUAUGUGUAAGUAACUGUGCACAUCUUGACGGUACCUAAUCAGAAAGCCACGGCUAACUACGU